GGCGGAAGUCCUCCUCCGCCCUGCACCGGAGCCGGCCCUUCCCGCAGGCUCUCGUCCCGGCUUAUCGGGGUCAUCGGUGGCCCGGGGCCCGCCGGCGCGGAGCGUCCCUGGAAAGCUCCGAGGCACGUGGCGAAGGAGUGUUGUGAAGCGCUUAGGUGCUGGGUGCGGAGGUGGGAGAAAGGGCCGACGACGCUCCACACCCCGCUGCGGGCUCGGCCGCUCCCAGCCGGCGGGGAAAUCCCCGUCUAGAUCCUGUGUGCCUCUUUUUGGACCUCAGAAAACGAAAUGGACAAAACUUCUUCAUGAGGAACAUCUGGACCCUUACCCCUUCCACGGUGUUCUAGGCACCGCAGAGCCUUCCAGUGGGUAACCGACAAACCGAACGCUCCCUCCACGUGGCGGCCCAUCCUCCAAGCUCAAACUCUG
rnacentral:lncRNA from 1 species